UCCCUCAUGGUGCAAUUGGCAGCACGCCGGGUUUUGAUCCCGGAGGUUCUACGUUCGAUCCGUAGUGAGGGAG
rnacentral:tRNA from 1 species